rnacentral:rRNA from 1 species
CAAUGUAUGGGGAUCUGCCUGAUGGCGGGGGAUAACUACUGGAAACGGUAGCUAAUACCGCAUAAUGUCUGCGGACCAAAGCGGGGGACCUCCGGGCCUCGCGCCAUCAGAUGAACCCAUAUGGGAUUAGCUAGUAGGUAAGGUAACGGCUUACCUAGGCGACGAUCCCUAGCUGGUCUGAGAGGAUGAUCAGCCACACUGGGACUGAGACACGGCCCAG